rnacentral:rRNA from 2 species
GGCUCAGGACGAACGCUGGCGGCGUGCCUAAUACAUGCAAGUCGAGCGGACAGAUGGGAGCUUGCUCCCUGAUGUUAGCGGCGGACGGGUGAGUAACACGUGGGUAACCUGCCUGUAAGACUGGGAUAACUCCGGGAAACCGGGGCUAAUACCGGAUGGUUGUUUGAACCGCAUGGUUCAAACAUAAAAGGUGGCUUCGGCUACCACUUACAGAUGGACCCGCGGCGCAUUAGCUAGUUGGUGAGGUAACGGCUCACCAAGGCAACGAUGCGUAGCCGACCUGAGAGGGUGAUCGGCCACACUGGGACUGAGACACGGCCCAGACUCCUACGGGAGGCAGCAGUAGGGAAUCUUCCGCAAUGGACGAAAGUCUGACGGAGCAACGCCGCGUGAGUGAUGAAGGUUUUCGGAUCGUAAAGCUCUGUUGUUAGGGAAGAACAAGUACCGUUCGAAUAGGGCGGUACCUGAC